rnacentral:rRNA from 1 species
UCCGUAGGCGGGCGACUAAGUCAGAGGUGAAAUCCCACAGCUUAACUGUGGAACUGCCUUUGAUACUGGUUGUCUUGAGUUAUAGUGAAGUAGAUAGAAUAUGUAGUGUAGCGGUGAAAUGCUUAGAUAUUACAUAGAAUACCGAUUGCGAAGGCAGUCUACUAACUGUAUACUGACGCUAAUGGACGAAAGCGUGGGGAGCGAACAGGAUUAGAUACCCUGGUAGUCC